AUUAAACAUCGAUUCACGUACGAUCACUGAAGUUAAGCAACGUCGAGGCUGGUCAGUGCCUAGAUUGGUGACCGUUUGAGAAUACCAGGUGCUGUAUG